GUCCGCGCGCCAGGCAGGCAGCCUCCCCGCUCAAGACAGCGAUCGCGAACCCUGCCCAAUUUCUGGCGCACCCUCACCGUCGCCCCUCUUCACCUCAGCCGCCGCUCCCUCCGCCUCAGCCGCGGCGACCGUCUCGUGGCGCCCCUCGCCUCCACGCACCGCGGAUCGGCACGGGACCAUGCAGGAUGUUUUAGAAUAUUUUCAUUUGAGCAACUUUUAAGAAGAUUUCCUAUUCAAGCACUGAAAAACAUUUGAUAUUAAGAAAAACUGAUGGUAAAAUAUUGAAGAGGGUGUAUGGAACAGGCUUACGAGGAGCAGAAAACAGUACUGUUUUUCCAUAUCUUUUGCUCAUCUGGGUGUUUGCUUCCUUCUAAUACAGCUUAGAGAGAGAAUGUGCUGUCUUGUAUCAGCCUGUGACACAUUGGAGAAAAAUGUAUGUUGAUUUAACAACCCACGCUGUGCCUCUGGGGAAAAAAAUGGGUUUGGGAAUGUAAUAAUUUGUUUUGUCCUUGUUUAUAAUGUUUCUUACAACAGCAACCAGUCUCUCUCAUUUGGAACAGAUCAAACUUUAUGUUAUAAGAAUCUUUGGCUGUUUUUGGUACCAGGAAAGAGGGUAUCCUUGGCUUGUGCUAUGAAGAGCAGCUUAGUUUGCAGAAAUCAGCUGAUAAACUUCUUCACAGCAUGCAGUUGAGCCUUAAGUGUGCAUAAAGCACCGCCAAGUCGCAGCCAACUUAGCUAACCCUGUAGGAUUUUCAAGGCAAGGGAAUAAAUUGGGUGGUUUGUCAUUGUCUUCCUCUGCAUAGCAACCCUGCUGUUCCUCGGCGGUCUCCAAUCCAAAUACCAACCAGGACCAACCCUGCUUAGCUUCUGAGAUCUGAUGAGAUCAGGCAAGCCUGGGCCAUCCAGGUCAGGGCACAAAACACUGUGGACAUUUGCUAAUAAUAAUGUUGAAUUGUGGACACUUGAGUCUUUUCAGCUGCUAAAGUUUAAAGACCACGUUACUGUUGAUAACCUUUAGGGAACAGUAAAAAUUUUUGGCAGCCAUUGUUAUAAACUCCUUGCCACUUUCUUGUGUACCUCCUGUAAGCACACUACAUUAUGAAUUUAUUGUGUUGCGUAAUAAGUUUUUACAAGAAUAGAGUGUAAUGGCACCAUGCAGUGAUGUACAAUAAGCGCAUAAAAGGUGUGCAGAUGACUGAUUAAACAACAACAACAUUUGCUGCUUGAACAUGUCUCAGGUUAUAUUCCAUUUCUUCAGGGCAAAGUUACCCAAGAGUGACUCGGAGUACAAUCCUAAGCAGGUCUACUCAGAACCCUACUGAGAUAUAUUCUGUGGGGCUUACUCCCAGGAAAGUGUGCUUAGGAUUGUACUGCCAGGCUGUCUUUGCUCCACGCCUUGAUGCCAGCUACAUGAUAGCUGCUAGAGUUGAGUAAUUGUCUCCUGAAAUAUAUAUUGCGCAAAAUUCAUUUGUAUUACUAGGGUUAUUUUUGUGAUUUUAUAAACCUUCUGUAAACAUUAA